UUUUGGUGUUUUAAAUUAGGGUUAGGAAUUAGGUUCAACAGUGUGUUAGGCAUUAGGUUCAACAGUGUGGUUAGGCAUUAGGUUCAACAGUGUGUUAGGCAUUAGGUUCAACAGUGUGUUAGGCAUUAGGUUCAACAGUGUGGUUAGGCAUUAGGUGCAACAGUGUGGUUAGGCAUUAGGUUCAACAGUGUGGUUAGGCAUUAGGUUCAACAGUGUGUUAGGCAUUAGGUUCAACAGUGUAGUUAGGCAUUAGGUUCAACAGUGUAGUUAGGCAUUAGGUUCAACAGUGUAGUUAGGCAUUCGGUUCAACAGUGUGGUUAGGCAUUAGGUUCAACAGUGUGGUUAGGCAUUAGGUUCAACAGUGUGGUUAGGCAUUAGGUUCAACAGUGUGUUAGGCAUUAGGUUCAACAGUGUGUUAGGCAUUAGGUUCAACAGUGUGGUUAUAGUUAGGCAUUCGGUUCAACAGUGUGGUUAGGCAUUAGGUUCAACAGUGUGUUAGGCAUUAGGUUCAACAGUGUGGUUAGGGUUAGGCAUUCGGUUCAACAGUGUGUUAGGCAUUAGGUUCAACAGUGUGUUAGGCAUUAGGUUCAACAGUGUAGUUAGGCAUUAGGUUCAACAGUGGUUAGGGUUAGGCAUUCGGUUCAACAGUGUGGUUAAGUUUUAAAUGAAAUUUGUUGACUUUGUGGCUGUGCCAGCUAGUGAGCACUGCAGAGCUGCCUCCAGAACAACAUUCAUGACGAAGAAGAAUGCUGAAACAGCUGUUUAACCAAG
ensembl:lncRNA